AAGUCGUAACAAGGUCUCCGUUGGUGAACCAGCGGAGGGAUCAUUAUAGAGUUCUAAAAAACUCCCAACCCAUGUGGACAUACCUCUAGUUGCCUCGGCAGGUCGCACCUACCCGGUGAAGCCUUACCCUGUAAGGCCUACCCUGUAGGCGCGGACAAGCCUGCCAGUGGAACUAUAAACUCUGUUUAUUAUUGAAUUCUGACACUAUAACUUAAUAAGUUAAAACUUUCAACAACGGAUCUCUUGGUUCUG
rnacentral:misc_RNA from 1 species